AUUGAACGCUGGCGGAAUGCUUUACACAUGCAAGUCGAGCGGCAGCGCGGGGCAACCUGGCGGCGAGCGGCGAACGGGUGAGUAAUGUAUCGGAACGUGUCCUGUCGUGGGGGAUAGCCCGGUGAAAACCGGAUUAAUACCGCAUACGAUCGAGAGAUGAAAGUGGGGGACCGCAAGGCCUCACGCGAUAGGAGCGGCCGAUAUCUGAUUAGCUAGUUGGUGGGGUAAAGGCCCACCAAGGCUUGGAUCAGUAGCUGGUCUGAGAGGAUGAUCAGCCACACUGGGACUGAGACACGGCCCAGACUCCUACGGGAGGCAGCAGUGAGGAAUUUUGGACAAGGGGGGCAACCCUGAUCCAGCCAUUCCGCGUGAGUGAAGAUGGCCUUCGGGUUGUAAAGCUCUUUUGUCCGGGAAGAAACGGUUUUGGCUAAUAACCAAGACUACUGACGGUACCGGAAGAAUAAGGACCGGCUAACUACGUGCCAGCCGCCGCAGUAA
rnacentral:rRNA from 1 species